AUGGCCUACAUUCCGGAUGGGGGCCCUCCCACUGCAGGGGGCAUCCCCUUGGGUUCUCAGUGCUGUGUGUGCAAAGUGGAGCUGUCAGUGAGUGGCCAGAACCUGCUGGACCGGGACGUCACCUCCAAGUCUGACCCUUUCUGUGUCCUCUUUAUAGAGGACAACGGCAGGUGGAUGGAGUUCGACAGAACAGAAACAGCCAUCAACAACCUCAACCCGGCCUUCUCUAAGAAGUUUGUGCUGGACUACCACUUCGAGGAGGUGCAGAAGCUCAAGUUCGCUCUGUUUGACCAGGACAAGUCCAGUGCACAGUUGGAUGAGCAUGACUUCCUGGGCCAGUUCUCCUGCAGCCUUGGCACGAUUGUCUCCAGCAAGAAGAUCACUAGGCCUCUGCUGCUGAUGAAUGACAAGCCUGCAGGGAAGGGCUUAAUCACGAUCGCAGCCCAAGAGCUGUCAGACAACCGGGUCAUCACACUGAGCCUGGCCGGCCGGAAGCUGGAUAAGAAGGACCUCUUUGGGAAAUCAGACCCGUUCCUUGAGUUUUAUAAGCCGGGAGAUGACGGCAAGUGGAUGUUGGUCCACAGGACUGAGGUGAUUAAGUACACCCUGGAUCCUGUAUGGAAACCAUUCACUGUACCGUUGGUAUCCUUGUGUGAUGGUGACCUGGAGAAGCCCAUCCAGGUUAUGUGCUACGACUAUGACAAUAAUGGAGGUCAUGACUUCAUCGGCGAGUUCCAGACCUCUGUGUUGCAGAUGAGCGAGGCUCGGGAUGGUGUCCCGCUGGAGAUGGAGUGCAUCAAUCCCAAGAAGCAGAGGAAGAAGAAAAGCUACAAGAACUCGGGCAUCAUUAUUCUGAGAUCAUGCAAGAUACACCGAAACUACUCAUUCCUGGAUUAUAUUCUGGGAGGCUGCCAGCUCAUGUUCACCGUUGGAAUAGACUUCACAGCCUCCAACGGGAAUCCCCUCGACCCUUCUUCUCUCCAUUAUAUCAACCCCAUGGGCACCAAUGAAUAUUUGUCAGCCAUCUGGGCAGUGGGACAGAUCAUUCAGGACUAUGACAGUGAUAAGAUGUUUCCUGCUCUGGGGUUUGGGGCCCAGUUACCCCCGGACUGGAAGGUGUCCCAUGAGUUCGCUAUCAACUUCAACCCCACUAAUCCUUUCUGCUCAGGCGUGGAUGGCAUCGCCCAGGCGUACUCAGCCUGUCUGCCCCACAUUCGCUUCUAUGGCCCCACAAACUUCUCCCCUAUCGUCAACCACGUGGCCCGGUUUGCAGCCCAGGCCACAGAGCAGCAGACAGCGACGAGAAGAUCAGCGUGUCCAGCUUGUGUCAUGAGGGAACGUGCCUGACUGCCUGAGGAGGUUAGCAUUUGAUAAUCCUGUUGUACCCACCCCCAAAGGCCUUGGAGGACAGACAGUGGAGUUCAGGGCACCGUGUCCCUGGAAAUUAGGAAGAAUACUGAGGUACGGUCAGCCGGGAAGGGGCUGUGCUGUGCAGUAAAGUAAAUGACCCCUGACUGAAGCAGCUGAGAACUCAGGUUCCUGCUUUCCUUUAAGCCCAUUUCCUCCAGUGCAGUGGGAACACUGACCCCCAUGUUGAUGCAAAAUGGGAUGGACAGAAUGGAUAGAAACUCUGGUGCGUGAGGCCGGGCAGGGAUAGUUUUGUUGUUCUCUGGUUCCUGAGGUUGCUGAGAUUCGAUAGCUUGGGUAGGGCCGAGUAAAAGGGCAGCCUUCAGCUUCACUGCCCAUUGAAAGAAUACCAAGUUCAGUGCCAGCAAAGUUGUUGGCUGCAUGAAUCCUUGAAAAUAGGCCCGAUUUCCCACUCAGGAGAAACCGUCUGGGCAGGGACAUGAGCACAUUCUAGCAGUGUGCCAGGCCCCUGUCUCAUGCUGUACCUGCUGCCAGCCAGGGGUCAACUAGGCAGGAAGUGGGGUCUGGAAACAAGUGCCUUCAUGACUGGGGAACUCCUGAUUUGCAGCGGCCUUGUCCACCCCCCGUCCCUUUACCAGUAAGGAGAACCUCACCUUCGUUCUGAGCAAAAGGACUUGAGACCUGGGCCCAGACACCGUUUGAGACCCUUCUGGGAUCAACCCUGGUAGAUUUGGUUUUACUUGCAACUCUAAGCCACCUCUGGCUUCCCAGCCUAAGCUAUUACCUCCGAGGCCUUGGACUUCAGCUGUGAGAGUAGAGCCUGGGGUCUCGGCCACCGCUUCCACUCCGAGAUCCAGGAGUAGAUACAGACUUUUCUACCACAUACCCUGACCCUCUCCACCAGAGGAGGCGAGUGGAGCUGCGGGGUGGCUCAACCUCAAGCUGAAAGGACCUGGUUCGAGCCCCAUCUCCCCCACUCCCUGGUUGUGUUACUAGAACAGGUAGUUUAACACUCUGAAUUUUGGUUUUUCUCCCCUGUACAACAGCAUUCCCAUCUCUGAGUGCUGCAGAGAGUCACCCAAAUGGGCGCGUGCGCUGUUCAGUCUAGAGCCUGGCACGUAAGACAGGUCGGUUGUAGGGACAGGCACGGACAUCUCUCAGGCUAGCAUCUGGUAGCGCUGUGCCCAGGGAGACCCGCAGCCGAUAGAAGUAAUUGGGGGAUUAACCAAUGCUUCUGGUUGGCCAUGUUUUGGUGUUGGGGGAUGUAAUGUGGCUUUGCCUUCCACAUCCCCUCACGUAUGCACACAGAGCACACACCCACGUACAGGACACAGAGAGCAGGCAGUGGUGUCUCUAGCACCUUCCAUUCAUUAUUUCUUCCUCGGGCCUUUUCUGAGCCUUUCUGGGCAGCCCCAAGGACACUUGGAUGAGUGAGAUUCAGCUUUUAGGGGAGUUAGCUGGGAGGCCGAUGCAGGAAUGUCUGCCUGUGAUGGUUACAGUCCAGGAUUGCACAGGUGGCACCUAAGCGACAGUGGGCACAAGGAAGGGGUGGUGCUUAGAAGGGGAUAUCCAGGCUUACACUUGAGAGAUUCUUAAGAGUGGGGGGUGGGUCUUGGUGUGUGGGUAUAACUGAUAGAGUCGUGUGUAAGGAGAUUGUGACGGAGUUGGCGAGACUCAGAAAGCUCACUAUCUCCCACAGGACCUUGAGAGCCGUCAGACACUCUAGGUUUCCUCCCGAAGGUAGUGGGAAGCCACCGGAGGUGGGGGUAGGGGUGGGGUAACAAGCAGGUUUGAGUGACCUGAUGACCUGAAAGUGGCCUUGCUGGAGUACAAGUAGCAAGCCCCAUCUCAGCCCUCAGCAGCCAGCUUUUCAGAAAUUACCCGGAGGUGAGUGCAGCUUCCCCACGCUGCCUAAACCGUGGGGUCAGGCCAGUUUCUUCCAGUCAUUCGUGCCGUGGGAGGUGUAGCUGUGCAGUCCUAGCCCCGUGAGGCAGGCCUGGAAUUGGCAAGAGAUGCUCUGCUCUUUGAAAAAGCUGGGACUUGGUUCCUGAGACCUAGAUGGAGAGCCAAGCCCCUGACCUGCAAUGUGGGCUGGGCUGUCAGGAGCACCUAGGGUGUAGGGAAGGUGUGUGCGGAGGGACAGCACAGUAGGGACACCAGGGCUUCGGAGUCCCUUUCCACCCUCCGCUCUUGCCCUCCACAGCCCUUCUGAUUUGCUCUGGGGGCUCUGGGUGUAGUGGUGGAUCUUCGAAGCUUUGGUUUUUGACGGCCAUGGCUUUGAGCAAGCUGGCUGUGGCACCCAGGAGUGAGGGCUAUAGCUAGGGCUCUGGACUUUGCCUAGACCACUAUUCUGUUCGUUCAGACUCACUCCAGGUUAACGGGUGACAAGGGAGCUUUUCCUGCCAGGCUCACAGCGACCAGCCACCCAUGCAGUGGGUGGCAGAGGACAGCAUGGCACUUUGUAGUCAGGCAGAUUUGGGCACGAACCUAGAACCUGCCAGUUACCUGUUACGGGACCUUAGCAGGUUGUGAAAGCUCUCUGAGCCAUCGGAUGGCCUCUAAGCCAGACUGGCAGUUAGGUUGUCUGCUAAAGGUCUUCUGUUUUCAGGCACCCCUUUGUCCUUCCCGCUCCACCUGCAGCCUUGCAGGGACCCAGGCUCUGUAUUUCUGCAUUCACAUCCCCCCGGAAGGAAGGCAGCAGGCUACAACAAGGAAGGACGACCACAGGGAGGUGGGGGCACAUGUCUGAGCUGAAUGGAGCUUGCAGACAAGCGCUACCUUUGACUGAGCAGCCAAUUAAAUCUUUCCUCAGUGUCAGGCUUCUUCCUGCCCUUCUCUCUGCCAGCCGAAGUCCCAGGAAUAUUGCCCCGAACUGCCGGGUGGGUGGAGUUAAUGUGGAUAAAAGCUGGCUAGGGAAGGGUCUGGAUGGAUUGGUAAAACCAGGGCUAGGGGCUGCCAGCAGCAGCUCUCUACCGCUGGGUUCAGGCUCCAUCUCCAUGGCAACAAGUAUCCCCAGCCAGGGGAUUGGUCUCUUAAAGGCACAGCAUUAGAGCUGGGGUGUGGAGGGUGAAGCCAGUGUUUGCACAAGCCCACCAUAUCUUGACCUGACCUUGUACUUUGGAACAGAAGAGGAUGGGGUAUUCUGGAGGCUGGGUUUGUAUUGUCCACAAGCUGCACAGUCUUGACCGUGGAGAAGGUAGCUUCAGGCCCACCAGGGUCACAAAGGUGGCCUUCCCUUAGCUUCAUGACAUCCCUUUGGCAACUAGUGGUCAGAGGACAGAAUUAGAAGGCGGACACCCCCAAUGGUAAAUCAGCACAAGGUUCCUGUGUUUAUCUUGUGGAUAGGACAGAACACUGGAUUCUUCUGAACAGGGCCACAGUAGGUCAGGACAGCCCUGGGGUGAAAGUAAAGGGCUGGCCACCUCUGGAUUGCCCUGACGGUUUCCUGUCAGUCACCUCCCUUCUCCACAUCAAGUCAUCCGGUGUGCACUUUAUCCUUAGGCAGCUCAUGUUCAUUAUUCAAUGCAUUUUACCUGAAAUAAUUCCUAAAGAAAAGCAUCUUGCUAAUGAAAGUUUGGUGUCAUUUGUCAUAAAUAGAGGGUAACAGGGAGACACAGGGCAGUGGUGUUAGGCUCUAUCUGCAGCCUAUGAACUUCCUACCUUCUGUUGAUGAGGGGGGUCAGUGAAAGCUGGAGACCUGAUACCAGUCUACACCAAAGCUGCCUCCUAGGCAGGGUGACCACUGACUACCUACCUACUCCUGCCCUAAGUGUGACAGCCCUGCAGCCUAGCCAUGACCGGGAUCCACCUCAGAAGUGACGGACCACGUGACCUGAGCUUAGCCCCUGCAGGUGUCUCCUUCCAUGCCAAGUAUGGAGCUAACAGUGAACGAGUAUUCCUGCCCACAAAGACAGGGGAGGUAGGCCAGCCGUAGAGGCUGUAGGCUAGACUGUGUUGCUGUGCAAGCCUGGGCUUGUCAGGCGGCUGGCACGUCAGCUCUGAGCUUAGUAACUCUCAGUUUAAAGGUGAUGAAACAGAAACUCGGCAGAUUAAGUCUUAGUGGCCAAAGCUGUGCUCACAGUAACUGGCAGAGCCCGGGGCCCAGCUUCAGAACGGGCCAGUCAGAGAUGUCCAAGCAGUACUUCAUCCUCCUCAUCAUCACUGACGGGGUCAUCAGUGACAUGGAGGAGACACGGCACGCCGUAGUGCAGGCCUCCAAGCUGCCCAUGUCCAUUAUCAUUGUGGGUGUGGGCAAUGCUGACUUUGCAGCCAUGG